rnacentral:lncRNA from 1 species
AUAAAGUAGCUCAGAGACCCACAGGAUCCCAAGGUUUGAACCCUACUUAAAUAAUUUAGACCUAGCCUGGAUGUCCACUCGAAGUCUUGGGAGAGAACGUGUUUGGAUUGAUCCAGCCACCUGAGAAGAGAAUUUGGAGAUGGUGGCCAGAAGCUGCAGCCAUGACUCAGUAAGAAGGGGAAAAGUGCUGCUCUGAUGUUACCUGGAACUGCAUUUAACUUAAACCAGCACAGUGCCUUGCUCUUCUGUGACCUUUACCCAUCAGGACUUAUUAGCUAAUUGAAUUCAGAAGGCAAUGAAAACACUGUGAGCACAGGCCUUGAUGUCUGGACCCUUCAACAGACCUUGGAACCCACUUCACCUUCCAGGCUGGAUGCUCUUGUUGCACAAGGAUUUCCUGAAGGUUUGGUGUCAUGGAAACAGCUUCUUCAUUUGGAAAGCUCUGCGGCAGUGUGAGAAGGAAAAGACUGGAGAGGGCGAGAGGAAGAGGGAGCGCAGGAGCGUGGCCGUGCAGCCUUCCCAACAUCAGUGGCUCCCUCCCUCCCUGCCUUCCCCGGAGACAAGGGAGCGAGCAGGAGGGCAGGGCUCCCGCGCUGCCUGCCUUACCUCGCUCUGCAAUAAGGCAAAUCAUUCCCCCUUUGCUGUUUGUCAUCGCCAAGACUGCAUGUGGCUUAUUUUGUAGUUAAUGCACAGUGUAGUUCUAAACACUUUUUAAGGGAAUUUUCUGUACUGAGGGGUUGUGUUUCUAUAUCUAUAUAUUAAUAUAUUUAUACAUACAUAUAUAUAUGUGAUGUAUUUUUGUAAAUGGACUUUAUCUAAA